ACAACCAGGAUAUGGAACCCGGCAGGGACAGGGCUGGUCAGGCAAUUCUGCACCCCUUCCCACCCUGCCUUGGCUCCUGCCUUCUGCUGGAAAAGGCUCCAGCUGCCUUGGAGGUGGCCCUUGCCGGCAUGAAGCAGCUAUCCCUGCAGGUUCAUAGCUCAGCUCUGAAGUAAAAAUAGCAGAGGGAUGGCACAUUGCAACAGAAGAUGAGGGGGCAAGAUGGCAAGGCAAGAG